rnacentral:rRNA from 1 species
AUGGUUCGACUGAAGAGGACAUCCAAUGAUGGCUGGUUUUUCUCUCGAGUUGUUUUGAUUCACAACCACGAGCUGGCAGAAACGGUUGGUGAGAAAAAAGUCUGGAAAUGUCAUAAUGCCAUUGAUUCUUCGAUGAGAGAUCUCAUCAAACAUAUGCGUUCAAACAAUGUGCAAGUUAACAAGGUGUUUGGGGUCAUGGCUGACAUCCAUGGGCGUGCUGAAGAAGUCCCGUUCGGCAAGAGGUGUCUGAAAAAUCUUUGCGCAUCAAUUGCACAUGAAGCUAGCCAGGACGACAUCGCCAAGACGCUUGAGCUUUUUGCAACAAUGCAAUCCCAGAACCCUGAUUUUUUCUAUUCAGUUAAGACCGACAUAGAAAGGAGAGUGUCUGGUCUCUUGUGGUGCCACUCGAAGAGCCGUGCUGAUUACUGGUUGUUUGGUGAUGUUUUGACAUUUGACACAACCUACAAGAGCAAUUUAUAUGAGAUGCCUGUUGGGCUUUUUGUAGGUGUCAACAACCAUUAUCAGUCUACUCUUUUCGGUUGUGUUGUUUUGCGAGAGGAGACUGUAGAGUCAUUCAAGUGGGCUUUUGCAACCUUCCUUGGUGCCAACGGCGAUCAAUGCUUGCAGAUGGAGCGUGCGAUUGCUGAUGUUAUGCCUUCUACUGCUCACCGUUGGUGCAAAUGGCACGUGAUGGAAAACAUCAAGGAGAAACUUGGGACCUUGUACAAGAAAGGUACACCAUUCCGCAUAGAUUUCAACUAUCUAACCAACGAGAUGAUGACUGUCGAGGAGUUUGAAUCUGGAUGGCAGUUUCUGGUUUCUAGCUAUGGACUACAGGAUAACAGGUACAUGUAG